AGCUUUGCGCAGUGGCAGUAUUGUAGCCAAUGAGGUUUAUCUGAGGUACGAUUAUUGCUAAACACUUCCAUGAAGACAAAAAGAGAAGGUUGUCUUUUCCAAAAGUGGUGCUGGGAAAACUGUAUAUCUACAAGUAGA